GUGGGGAAUAUUGGACAAUGGGCGAAAGCCUGAUCCAGCCAUGCCGCGUGUGUGAAGAAGGCCUUUUGGUUGUAAAGCACUUUAAGCGAGGAGGAGGCUACUUGGAUUAAUACUCUAGGAUAGUGGACGUUACUCGCAGAAUAAGCACCGGCUAACUCUGUGCCAGCAGCCGCGGUAAUACAGAGGGUGCGAGCGUUAAUCGGAUUUACUGGGCGUAAAGCGUGCGUAGGCGGCUUUUUAAGUCGGAUGUGAAAUCCCCGAGCUUAACUUGGGAAUUGCAUUCGAUACUGGGAAGCUAGAGUAUGGGAGAGGAUGGUAGAAUUCCAGGUGUAGCGGUGAAAUGCGUAGAGAUCUGGAGGAAUACCGAUGGCGAAGGCAGCCAUCUGGCCUAAUACUGACGCUGAGGUACGAAAGCAUGGGGAGCAAACAGGAUUAGAAACCCUUGUAGUCC
rnacentral:rRNA from 1 species